ensembl:lncRNA
AUCUCUUCCCUGUGAUGACUCUAGAGGCCACACAAUUCCCUUUAAGCUCAAUUAUCUCACCACUGCCGGCUCUGAUAACCUGUGGAAACCAGCAGACACAGUGUGAGUAGUGAGCCCGAAAAAGAGGAAGGCCCAGAGCAGCCAUCAGCCGUCUUCAUUUCCCUGCAGUCAGCCCCUUGGUAUCACUGAUAACAAUGACAGGAGAAUCUCUCCGCCAGCACUGCCAGAUUGCAGCCUGCCAAGCUCCUCUGUCCAUGGGAUUCUCCAGGCAAGAAAAGUGGAGUGGGUUGCCAUUUCUUCCUCGAGGGGAUCUUCCCAACCCCAGAUUUCCACAAUCAGGCCUAAUGGUGACAAAGCUAUUGGGAAAGUCAGUUUUCAAGAAGUUGAAAGCCAAGCCUCAAGUCUUCACAGAGGAGUUGAACUAUGUGAUUUCAGAGGCUCAUGAACUCCUAGAAGAAGAGAACAAUAAUGUUGGAGAGUGACUGCGAUAAC